rnacentral:tRNA from 1 species
GCCUGGGUAGCUUAGUCGGUUAGGCAUCUGACUUCAGCUUAGGUCAUGAUCUCACAGUUUGUGGGCUGGAGCCCCACUUUGGGCU